rnacentral:rRNA from 1 species
AACGAACGCUGGCGGCAUGCCUAACACAUGCAAGUCGAACGAGACCUUCGGGUCUAGUGGCGCACGGGUGCGUAACGCGUGGGAACCUGCCCUUAGGUUCGGAAUAACUCCCCGAAAGGGGUGCUAAUACCGGAUAAUGUCUUCGGGCCAAAGAUUUAUCGCCUUUGGAUGGGCCCGCGUUGGAUUAGCUAGUUGGUAGGGUAAAAGCCUACCAAGGCGACGAUCCAUAGCUGGUCUGAGAGGAUGAUCAGCCACACUGGGACUGAGACACGGCCCAGACUCCUACGGGAGGCAGCAGUGGGGAAUAUUGGACGAUGGGCGAAAGCCUGAUCCAGCAAUGCCGCGUGAGUGAUGAAGGCCUUAGGGUUGUAAAGCUCUUUUACCCGGGAUGAUAAUGACAGUACCGGGAGAAUAAGCUCCGGCUAACUCCGUG